CUCAAAAGUACGCCUGUUAUAUGCAGUGAUCUCAAUGACAGUUGGUUUGCCCACAUUUUCUACAGUUGGUGAACCAUACAGCACUCCAUCGCUGUAUGGUGUCCUUUGUAUAUAGCGGAGCCAUCCAGGUCGGUCAGGGUAACCCAUUAAAUUGGUAUUAAAUGUUAUAGGAUCAUUGCUUAUUUCACCAUUCUUCUCAACAGCCUUUAUUCUGCUGAUAAUAUAACUGUUGGCUUGCUUAGUCUUCCAGUUAACUGUUCCAUUACUGCCAUCAGCAGAGCUUAACAAAAAAGCUGUCAGCAGCAGCGUGGUCAGCGCGCCCCCACCGCGCGGCCCGGGCCCCGCGCAGCACCGCAUCGCCGCCCGCUCCUCCGCCUGCUGCUGCUGCUGCCGCCACCGCCGCCGCAUCCUCCGCCCGCCGCCGCCUCGCCCCGCGGCCGCAGCAUCCUCCCGCCCCGCCCCGCCCCGCCCGUCUCCAGGCAGCGCGGCGGCCCCGCGGGGCAUGCCGGGAGAAGCCGCUCACCGCCCCCGGGCCCACCGCCAUCUUCGGGGGUGGUGCAGUGCGGGGUCAACUGGGGGUGUGGGUGUAGUGCCAGCGAAGUCUUGCGUGUAUUAAGGUUCCUAUGGCAAUUUUACUUGCAAGAACAGUGUGGUUUUUGUUUCUUAAAACGUUCAGCAGCUCCACCUCCACAUAGCAGAGUGCCGAAGGGGGCAGUCAGGGAGGGACCCAUUCCCGGGCUGUGGUGUGAGUGGGGUUCACUGCUCCCCAGUGCUGCUGUCUUACAGAGUGAUGCCUUCAGGGAAGGAUGCAGUCCGUUCGCCACGUCAGGCCUGUUUAUUCCGGGCUGCACAAGGGCUGUGUGUGCUUUCUGGAAUAACUGCUGGUUCCUGGCUGCUGUUUGUGUUGCAGCGCAAAAGUAAUGACAGUAUUCACGUCUUUGUGGAAGCAAAUGUUCCUGUGCAGGAGCUACAUGCUUUAGCUUCCUAUACUGCAUAUGCAGUGUAGUCCCUGUAGUGAAACUGCAUAGAGAAGUAGAACGGUGGUUUUAUGUAUUAUUUAGUAAGCUUGAUUAACUUACUAUUUAAACUUGCAAUACCUUAGGGCAAUGAGGCACAGGAGAGUAGAUUUUUUUUUUUUUUUGACAUAUCAAAUGUUUUAUAAACAUUUUGCUGCAAAUGUUAGCACAAGAGCCCUUUUAAAUAGGGACAAGAUGGUUAGUCUUCCAUUAUCUAUGCGAAUAGCACUCCUUUGUUGUGCAUAGAGAAUUCUGAUUUCAUGGAAUUCUGUAAGUCUAAAUGUCUUUGCAGUAAUAACAAUAUGCUCUUGAGGUUUGGUAAGGAGAGAAAAUCUGGCUUACUCAAAAUGCAUUUGGACCUACUGAGCACUUUAGAAGCAGAGGAAUAAAAGACAAGUGUAGAAGACUUCACCCUGUCUGGUUUUAAUGUUGCUACAGCUCCACAUUUCCUAUAAUCCUUCUCGUGAAGGGAAGCCCUAUAUAGUUAGAGGCUCUUUGGUAUUUGAAAUUCUGCCUGACAGACGGUUGCAAAAUGCUCUGGCAUCCUAGUCAGCCAGCUCAUUGUCCCAAAUAAAGGGUUUUUGGUUCUUUUUCCAAUGAGACUUUCUUUCACAAUGUAUUCGCAUUUUUUAUUUGACUACACAUAUUUAUGAGCAGAAAUUACACUCUUUCAUUUAGCACUUUCUAAAAGUACUCUUCUGUUUCAUGGCACUUUAUAUUCAAGUAGGCCUACUUCCACUCACCUGUUAAUGUGAUUUUGUAUUCAUUUCCCUAUGGCAUUGUACAAAGCCGCACAGGUGCAGCUGUGCCAUAACCACAUCAGAUAGCAAGCUCAUCCAACAGUAAUCCUGUUGCUAGUAAAAGGUCUGAUUUUUGUAAACACACUUGUGCUGUCAUCAGCUUACUGAUUACCAUUUUCCUUCC
rnacentral:lncRNA from 1 species